rfam:Triticum aestivum genome assembly, contig: Triticum_aestivum_CS42_TGACv1_scaffold_080866_1DS
CUUCUACUCCCUCCGUUCUAAAAUAAAUGACUCAACUUUGUACUAACUCUAUAGUUAGUACAAAGUUGAGUCAUCUAUUUUGGAACUUUGUACUAACUCUAUAGUUAGUACAAAGUUGAGUCAUCUAUUUUGGAACGGAGGGAGUACAUG